GACGAACGCUGGCGGCGCGCUUAACACAUGCAAGUCGAACGGAAAGGCCCUGCUUUUGGGGGGUGCUCGAGUGGCGAACGGGUGAGUAACAAGUGAGUAACCUGCCCUUGACUUUGGGAUAACUUCAGGAAACUGGGGCUAAUACCGGAUAGGAGCUCCUGCUGCAUGGUGGGGGUUGGAAAGUUUCGGCGGUUGGGGAUGGACUCGCGGCUUAUCAGCUUGGUGGUGGGGUAGUGGCUUACCAAGGCUUUGACGGGUAGCCGGCCUGAGAGGGUGACCGGCCACAUUGGGACUGAGAUACGGACCAGCCUCCUACGGGAGGGAGCAGUGGGGAAUAUUGCACGAUGGGCGGAAGCCUGACGCAGCAACGCCGCGUGCGGGAUGACGGCAUUCGGGUUGUAAGCCGAUUUCGCCUGUCACGAAGCGUGAAUGACGGUAAUGGGUAAAGAAGCACCGGCUAACUACGUG
rnacentral:rRNA from 1 species